UACGUAGGGACCAAGCGUUGUUCGGAUUUACUGGGCGUAAAGGGCGCGUAGGCGGCAAUUCAAGUCAGCUGUGAAAUCUCCGGGCUUAACUCGGAACGGUCAGCUGAUACUGCUUUGCUAGAGUGCGGAAGGGGCAAUCGGAAUUCUCGGUGUAGCGGCGAAAUGCGUAGAUAUCGAGAGGAACACCUGCGGCGAAGGCGGGUUGCUGGGCUGACACUGACGCUGAUGCGCGAAAGCCAGGGGAGCGAACGGG
rnacentral:rRNA from 1 species